UACGUAGGGACCGAGCGUUGUCCGGAAUCAUUAGGCGUAAAGAGCGUGUAGGCGGCUUGUUAAGUCUUGCGUGAAAUCUCGGGGCUCAACCCCGAGCGGUCGUGAGAAACUGGCAGGCUAGAGUGCGGGAGAGGAGAGUGGAAUUCCUGGUGUAGCGGUGGAAUGCGCAGAUAUCAGGAGGAACACCUAUAGCGAAGGCAGCUUGCUGGGACGUUACUGACGCUAAGGCGCGAAAGCGUGGGGAGCGAACAGG
rnacentral:rRNA from 1 species